rnacentral:rRNA from 1 species
UACGGAGGGGACUAGCGUUGUUCGGAAUUACUGGGCGUAAAGCGCACGUAGGCGGAUUUGUUAGUCAGGGGUGAAAUCCCGAGGCUCAACCUCGGAACUGCCUUUGAUACUGGCAACCUAGAGACUGGAAGAGGUUAGUGGAAUUCCCAGUGUAGAGGUGAAAUUCGUAGAUAUUGGGAAGAACACCAGUGGCGAAGGCGGCUAACUGGUCCAGCACUGACGCUGAGGUGCGAAAGCGUGGGGAGCAAACAGG